rnacentral:pre_miRNA from 1 species
GUCCAUGUAUCCACCUCGAUCUAUGUGUAUUGGAGUGAGUUGAGAUAAAAUUUAAAACUAAAUUUCAUCUCAACCCACUCCAACGCACAUGGAUUGAGGUGGAUACAUAC